AUAGGCUUUUUUUUUUUUUUGAGGAAAAAGAAGAAAGAGAAAGAGACAAAGGAAAAGGAGAAAGACAAGAGAGGAAGAAGCAGGAGGAAAACAGUGGAGAGAAGAAGAAAAAAGAGAAAAAAUAAAUUACAGCUAUCUGGGCUUCCAUGGGAGUGCCAACUCUGACAGCUGAGACAUCUCUGACUUGGCUCUUUCACCUCUUGUGCAAGGGAAGAACAGCACUAUUUUUAAAGGAGGUCAUUAGUUUUGGAAAUCACUAGUGGGUAAAAAAGACCAAUUUGCAACUAGGCUCUCAUGCUCUGUUGAAAACUAUGUCACAAUAUCACAAUACUAGAUGCUGGGCUCAAGACAGCAAACAGAAAGCAGCAAGGGCAGUGACUGGAAGCUGGGAGAGAGGGUCAACAGCUGAAUCUCAGCCUGAUGGAGGCCACCAUUUAAUAAGUAAAUACAUGCACGGCUAUUUAGAUCCUGCAUCAGACAGGUCAUCAGAAAACAUGAAGCUAAAUGCAGUAAAGAAUUACUCUCUUGAACUCUUGAAAAUAUCAAAAACAUGAAGCUAAAUGCAGUAAAGAAUUAGUCUCUUGAACUCUUGAAAAUAUCAUUUUCUUAUAGAAAUGGUUUAAAAAUUUCUUUUUUAUUAUUUCUAAUUUUCCUUCAGAAAAUUGUGAGUUUUAACCUACAACACAUACACUCCAAGGUAAUGCCACUCUAAUGCUGUCUAGUUGAUCUGAAUAACUAACUGGUCAAUUAUCAGAUCCACCAAACUGUCUCUCUGGAGAUUAACUUCUGCCAGCAUAUUG
rnacentral:lncRNA from 10 species